rnacentral:rRNA from 1 species
GCAAGUCGAGCGAAUGGAUUAAGAGCUUGCUCUUAUGAAGUUAGCGGCGGACCGGUGAGUAACACGUGGGUAACCUGCCCAUAAGACUGGGAUAACUCCGGGAAACCGGGGCUAAUACCGGAUAACAUUUUGAACCGCAUGGUUCGAAAUUGAAAGGCGGCUUCGGCUGUCACUUAUGGAUGGACCCGCGUCGCAUUAGCUAGUUGGUGAGGUAACGGCUCACCAAGGCAACGAUGCGUAGCCGACCUGAGAGGGUGAUCGGCCACACUGGGACUGAGACACGGCCCAGACUCCUACGGGAGGCAGCAGUAGGGAAUCUUCCGCAAUGGACGAAAGUCUGACGGAGCAACGCCGCGUGAGUGAUGAAGGCUUUCGGGUCGUAAAACUCUGUUGUUAAGGAAGAACAAGUGCUAGUUGAAUAAGCUGGCACCUUGACGGUACCUAACCAAAAAGCCACGGCUAACUACAUGCCAACAGCCGCGGUAAUACGUAUGUGGCAAGCGUUAUCCGGAAUUAUUGGGCGUAAAGCGCGCGCAAGUGGUU